rnacentral:misc_RNA from 1 species
GUAGGUGAACCUGCGGAAGGAUCAUUACAAUUCAGUAGCUUGCUACUGUCAGGAGGUGCUGUAAGCCCGCAUAGUUUAAUUACUGAUGAGCGGCAGGCCCUCUAUCUGUACCCUUGUCUUUUGCGCACUCAUGUUUCCUCGGCGGGCUUGCCCGCCGAUUGGACAAAACUAUAACCUUUUUAAUUUUCAAUCAGCGUCUGAAAAAACUUAAUAAUUACAACUUUCAACAACGGAUCUCUUGGUUCUG